rnacentral:rRNA from 1 species
AUUGAACGCUGGCGGCAUGCCUUACACAUGCAAGUCGAACGGCAGCACGGGAGCAAUCCUGGUGGCGAGUGGCGAACGGGUGAGUAAUAUAUCGGAACGUGCCCGGUCGUGGGGAUAACGUAGCGAAAGUUACGCUAAUACCGCAUACGAUCUAAGGAUGAAAGCGGGGGGAUCGCAAGACCUCGCGCGAUUGGAGCGGCCGAUAUCAGAUUAGGUAGUUGGUGAGGUAAAGGCUCACCAAGCCAACGAUCUGUAGCUGGUCUGAGAGGACGACCAGCCACACUGGAACUGAGACACGGUCCAGACUCCUACGGGAGGCAGCAGUGGGGAAUUUUGGACAAUGGACGCAAGUCUGAUCCAGCCAUUCCGCGUGCAGGACGAAGGCCCUCGGGUUGUAAACUGCUUUUGUACGGACGAAAAGGUUUGUCUUAAUACGAUGAGCUCAUGACGGUACCGUAAGAAUAAGCACCGGCUAACUACGUGCCAGCA